GACGAACGCUGGCGGCGUGCUUAACACAUGCAAGUCGAACGGACCCGCCCUUGUUUUUUGGGGUGCUUGAGUGGCGAACGGGUGAGUAACACGUGAGUAACCUGCCCUUCACUUUGUGAUAACUUCCGGAAACUGGGGCUUAUACCGGAUAGGAGCUCCUGCUGCAUGGUGGGGGUUGGAAAGUUUCGUCGGUUGGGGAUGGACUCGCGGCGUAUCAGCUUGUUGGUGAGGUAGUGGCUUACCAAGGCUUUGACGGGUAGCGGGCCUGAGAGGGUGACCGGCCACAGUGGGACUGAGAGACGGCCCAGACUGCUACGGGAGGUAGAAGUGGGGAAUAUUGCACAAUGGGCGGAAGCGUGAUGCAGAAACGCGGCGUGGGGGAUGAAGGCCUUCGGGUUGUAAACCGCGUUCGCGUGUGACGAAGCGGGAGUGACGGUAAUGGGUAAAGAAGCACCGGCUAACUACGUG
rnacentral:rRNA from 1 species